rfam:Synechococcus sp. PCC 7002, complete genome.
GGGUCGUUAGCUCAGCGGUAGAGCACUCGGCUUUUAACCGAUUGGCCCAGAGUUCGAAUCUCUGACGACCCA